rnacentral:rRNA from 1 species
AGAGUUUGAUCAUGGCUCAGGAUGAACGCUGGCGGUAUGCGUAGGUAUGCAAGUUUGACGAAACCCUUCGGGGUUUAGGGGCGGACGGGUGAGUAAUGCGUGAGAAUCUGCCUUAAGGUUUGGGACAACAGCUGGAAACGGCUGCUAAUACCAGAUAUGCCCUUCAGUGAAAGGAGUUAAUCUCCGCCUUUUGAUGAGCUCGCGUCUGAUUAGCUAGUUGGUGGGGUAAGAGCCUACCAAGGCUUCGAUCAGUAGCUGGUUUGAGAGAACGACCAGCCACACUGGGACUGAGACACGGCCCAGACUCCUACGGGAGGCAGCAGUGAGGAAUUUUCCGCAAUGGGCGAAAGCCUGACGGAGCAAUACCGCGUGAGGGAGGAAGGCUCUUGGGUUGUAAACCUCUUUUCUCAGAGAAGAAUAAUGACGGUAUCUGAGGAAUAAGCAUCGGCUAACUCCGUGCCAGCAGCCGCGGUAAUACGGAGGAUGCAAGCGUUAUCCGGAAUGAUUGGGCGUAAAGGGUCUGUAGGUGGUUGUUCAAGUCUGCUGUUAAAGCAUCUGGCUUAACCAGAUAAAGGCAGUGGAAACUGAACGACUUGAGUGCAAUAGAGGUAGAGGGAAUUCCCAGAGUAGCGGUGAAAUGCGUAGAUAUUGGGA